rnacentral:lncRNA from 1 species
GGGAGAGAGAGGUGGAUUGAGAAGUGAGAGCGAAGAUGAGAGAGAUUCGAGCUUCAAAUGCCGACAUAGUUCUUCGCCGGGUGCUUAUUCUGUCGCCGGAAGAUGCAGAGUUGGUGAUUGAGAUGAUUGUUUUGUUAGGUUUUCCAUGAAUUGAGACCGAUUGAAGUGAAAGAGAAGGGUUACAAAGAGAAAUUAGCAUGUUUACUUUUGCAGAAUUGAAUAUGGAUUUGUUUGGUUCACUAUUACUGCAAUGCAACUGAAUAUUUUUCUGGAUUUUGAAUUUCUGUUUUGAUUUUGGUCUACAGGUGGUUAAUGGUUAUGGUUUUCCCGGCACAGUAUAUAU